rnacentral:lncRNA from 1 species
CUGCUCCGGGGUGACGCACGCGGACCGCGCUGCACCCAGGCGCUCGCCACCACCCCACCCCCCCCACGCCCACCCCGGGCGCGAGCGCGUCGAGCCCGGCCAGCAGGGCGCCUCCCGGGCCUGCAGGGGUCCGCCCGCCACCCCGCCUCGGCACGCACGCGCCGCGAAGCCGCCGGGGCCCCGGAACCGCCGCCUCCCUCGCCCAGGGGCGCGCCCCCUCCCCAGGAGGCCCGUCCGCGGGGCGCCGUCCACUCCACCCCGGGGGCUGCGGAGGCGCCCCGCUGCCACUCGGCGGCGCCUGUCGGGCUGCACGCCGCGCCGUCCCAGGGCAGGGAACACCCCGCCCUCGCACGGCCCCGGCUUCCCCGCGGCCUCUUGACACCGAGGCCUCUUCACGCGCGGCGCCGACCCGGGGCCGCCGGGUUCGCGACGGGCCUGCCAAUCAGAGGCGCUUUCCUCAGAGCGGCCAACCGACCAAUCACCGCGCGCCAGUGUCUUCGGCCCUUCGGCCCUUCGGCCCUUCGGCUCUUCGGCUCUUCGGCCCCUCGGCCCCUCGGCCCUUCGGCUCUUCGGCGCUCGCGGGGGCUGCGCCGGCCCUCCGCGGCCUUCCGCCGCGCUCUCUACAGCUCCCUCCGCUCGUCCGCGUUUAAUUUCCCCUUUUUCCUCAGACACUUCCGGGUCCGGCGUCGCUCCGGAAGCCCGCGCGUCCCGGAAGCCUGGGUAAUCCCGGUUCUGCUCGGAGAGGCCGAGCUUCCCGGAGAAUGUUUCAGAGAAAGUUACGUGGGCCGGGGGCGUUCCGCAGACUCGUCAGACACAUGAGAGAACUCGAAGAUGUAGAGUUGCAAUUUGGAAGCAGCCACAAUCCCUGAAUCACUGCUGGUGGAGAAGAACCAUGAAAAGAUGUCUAAUCUACUUGUCCUGUGACAUAAUUAAGAAAGAAGACUUUGCUGCAUUAAAACCAUGACAUUUUUGUGUUUUAUUGGUAUUGACAGAUUUUGCUUUCAGGAUUAUACUCCAGAAUCAUUAAUUAGGAAAAUUGUCUCUAUCCCUACCCAGACUAAGUUACCUGCAUCUUCCCGGGGGUUCCCAAAUUGUGAUUUUCAUUCUGUCAUAGCAAUAAAACGUAUCUGGUGAUAUGUCUACCCCUUCUUUCUUAAUGAUCAAUUGUGCUCUCUUUCAGGGCAAGAUCUAUCUCUGCUCUAUCAUCUAGGUUUGUUGUAUAAAUUAAUCAGUUAAUGUAUGAAUAGUAUCCCGAGCUGUACCCAUACAGAGUGAGUGCUCAAUAAAAAAAUAAAUAAAUAAGUCACCAUUAUUGUUGCCAUUAAUAGUGUUAUUAUGGUUAUUUCCUCAACACCGAUCAUGAUGUCUGGCUCAUACUGAGUGCUCAAUACAAGUAAGAAUGAAACAGUGUAUGAUGUAAUCCUUGCCUAUAUAAAAUUGAACUAAUGCUUCCUCUACUUCACAGGGUUGCUGUAAGGAAUGCAGUUAACUGUUUAUUGUUAAACACAACACGUGUAAGUUAUUUUUAUUCUAAUCUAUGCAAACAGAAGUGGCAUUUUACUUAUUCCUCUUCAUUUAACUCUUUUCUUUCAGAAAGACUUAGUCUUUAGCCAUAACAGUUUCUAGUGUAUUAAACUUUGGGAUUUUGUUGCAAAAGAGAUGUAAUACUAAAAUAAAGAUCACUGAGGCUUAAUUAACUAUGAACCUUUUUUUCCAACUUUUCAGUUUCUAAGAAAAUUUAAAUAAUCUUAAAUAAAUUCUUAGAGGGAUCUAUACAAUAUCUAUAUUACAACUACUCAGAAACUAUACAUACAUUAUGCAUCACAAAUGUCAUAGUCAGCUAGAGAAACCUAGAGAAGCUGGUAUUUAUAAAAUAUGGCAAUAAAGACAAAAGAUGGUAGCACAUUUUACUAGUUUCCUGUUGGCUGCUGUAACAAAUUACCACAAACUCGGCGACUCAAAACAAUACAGAUGUAUUCUCCUAUACGUCUGGAUGUCAGAAGUCUGACACAGGUCUCAACUGGGCUACAAUCAAAGUCUGACAGGACUGAACUCCUUUCUGGCAGCUCUAGGAAGGAAGCUUUUUCCUUGCCUUUCUCAGCUUCUAGGGGCCACUCACAUCCCUUUGUUUGCAGCCUCCUCCUCACACAACACUUUCCUAUUGGUUCUGUCACCGAUAGAUCUACUGAUCCUCCUAUCUCCCUCUUAUACAGAUCCAUACAUUAGGUCCAGCCAGAUAAUUCAGGUCAAUCUCUCAAUUGCAAAAUCUUUAAUCACAUUCUCAAAGUCCACUUUACCAUGUAAGGCAUCAUCCUUACAGGUUCUAAGGAUUAGGAUGUGGGCAUCCCUACCACACUCUUGAGCCUAUCAUACAAUCUAAAUUUUUGUACAUUUGAUAUUUAUUAAGUGUAAAUGUAAACUUUAGAGCAGAACAAUGGAAGAAAAUAGGAGUAGUGGACUCUUGAACAACAGGAGGGGUUAGGACACCACGCUCCUACAGAAUUGAGAACCUGCAUAUGACUUUUGACUCCCUCCAAGCUUAACUACUAAUAGUCCUCUGUUGACUGGAUACCUUACCGAUAAUAUAAAGUCAAUUAACAUAUAUUUUAUAUGUUAUAUGUGUUAUAUACUGUAUUCUAACAACAAAGUAAGCUGGAGAAAAGAAAAUGCUAUUAAGAAAAUCAUAAGGAAGGGAAAAAUCUGUGUAUAAGUGGACUUACACAGUUCAAACCCAUGUUGCUCAAGGGUCAACUAUAAAUACAGUUUUCAAGUUUUCAUUAAACAGUUGUUUUGUAUAUUUAAAGUGGUUUCCAGGGAUCCCUGGGUGGCACAGUGGUUUGGCGCCUGCCUUUGGCCCAGGGCGCGAUCCUGGAGACCCGGAUCGAAUCCCACGUCGGGCUCCCAGUGCAUGGAGCCUGCUUCUCCCUCUGCCUGUGUCUCUGCCUCUCUCUCUCUCUGUGACUAUCAUAAAUAAAUAAAAAUUAAAAAAAAAAGAUAAAGUGGUUUCCAGUGGACUUACAGCAGUCAUUGUUUUAUUUUAUUUUUUAAAUAUUUUAUUUAUUCAUGAGAGACACAGAGAGAGAGAGAGGCAGAGACACAGGCAGAAGGAGAAGCAGGCUCCCUGUGAGGAGCCCGAUGUGGGACUCGAUCCCAGAACUCCGGGAUCACUACCUGAGCCCAAGACAGAUGCUCAACCACUAAGCCACCCAGGCACCCCAAAGCAGUCAUUGUUUUAAAGUGACAAACCUAAGUACUCCAUACGUACACCUACACAAUCCUGGAGCUUGCUCAUUCACUUUCUUCAUCCAAAUAUGAUAUUAUGCUCCCUUGAUGAUGUGGUCUGUUACCCUUCACCCCACUAGACUGUAUCUUCUAUGAAAAGUGACCUGAGCCCUUUGUGUCCCUCCUGUAUUCCCUAUGUCUAGCAGAUAGCUACCUAGAAUAGAGGCCCAGUAAGUUGUUUUGUGGCUGGCACUGAUGUUUAAUCCUUCUAGCUACUAUCAUAUUCUUUAUCACUAGCAGAUCCCAAUUUUGUUCACUUUUUUUUGUGAAGUAUUCAAGGAAAGAGUUUCUUUCUACACCCGAGAGGUGAAUUUUAAUUAGUCUGAGACAAUCAUGGUAAUAUCAUCCCCCAUUCCACUGACAAUUAAUUUAAGAAUGGGUAUGUGAUUACUUCCAAGCAUGAGAAAUCCACCAGGGACUUUCCAGUGAUAGUUUUCCUUUCCUGACAAAAAGAUGUACAAGGAGGAAUGCCACUUUUCUGAGUCUUGAUGUGAUUGUCUGAGGAUGUGGUGUCUGGCACUGUGGCAGGACCUUGAAAACAUGCUGUCAUAGAGCAAGGGAUCACCAAAAAAAAAAAAAGGUAACUGGCUAAGGAUGGCAUUGCAGGAAGACAUAAAAUAUAUAGGCUCUUGAUGAAAUUAUAGGUACUGAAUUAACCAACCAGGAACUUCCCUACCAUCAGAAUUGUUGUUAUAUAAAGCACUAAAUUCCACGUUUUAAGCCACUUUUAUGUAUAUUAUGUUUUCUGCAGAUGAAAACAUCUUAACAGAUACAUUUAAGAAAAUGAAUGGAUGGAUGGAUGGAUGGAUGGAUGAGGUGUUGUUUCUUAUCAUGCUAUGCAAUUUUGUACUAUAUUUUGCUCAUUUGUAAAUGAGAAAGUUGAGAAUGUUCCCUCUUAUAACCUUGCCAUUUAUCAAUCUGCCUUUAAUCAACAAAUACAGAAUAUUAAAACUGCAAUUAGAACAGGACUUAGCUGAUGUUUUAUAAGUGAUGUACUUUCUAUCCUUCCAAGUUCCAUCCCUGGAUCACGUUAGAAAAUCAGAAAAUUGUGUAAAACAGGACAUCAGGUUAGCCAACAAAGGAAACUUGCCUUUGUUAAGAUUCAUUUUAAUAUUUUGCCCUUUUUUAAAAAUAAAAGUAAUUUUUUGCAAAAUGCAAUAGCAAAUUGUGCAUAUUGUUGGUAACACUGAAUAAUACAGUGAUUAUCAAACCCAAGGCUAGAUUCUCACCUGAGAUAAUUCUUUCGAUAUCAGUGCUACAAAAAGUAUAUUUCCUUCAAAAACAUCUUUCUUUUUACAAACAAAGAGAAGAAAACCUUAGAGACAAAUUUGAGACGGAAACAGCAGUUAUUUUGGCUUUUAUGAUCAGCAGACUGGUAUCCUCUUUUCCAAUUCUGUUUUGAUUUUACUAUUUUAUUAUUUUUAUUGUAAAAUACCUUAAAUAAACAGUUGGUGGGAAAGACAAUGUGUAGUACACACUUAAAUAAAAAUUUUAAUACUUACAAUAAUAUGUUUUAUUAAUGUUACUUUAUGUGGCUGGAUGGCUAAAGCAAACAUAAUGAGACAAAAUGAAUAUAGUUUAUAAGAGCUGAGGCAGAAAGCUACCUUUUUAACACCCAAAUACUUUCUUUAAUUUAGAGUCAAAAACGACAUUUUUUAUUACAAAAGUAAUAUUUUUUCAACAGGUUUUAAAUAACAAAAAUAGAAUAUAUUUUAAAGGAAAAAUCACAUGUACUCCAUUGGGCAAUAAUUUUAAUCAUUUUGUAUCCUUCCUAAUUUUAUUUAUACAUAUAUAACACAUCUAUAUGUUUAUUAAUGAAGUCAUGUAAACUGGCAUAAAUUGUUUUCUCACAUUCUUUACCACUUAUUUUUUUUUUCAUAUUUUAAAUAUACUUUGCUAAUAUGAUUUUAAUGACUAAAUAAUUUUCUUUUGGGGGCACUUUUUAACCAGUUUCUUAUGACUAUACUGAAUAAAAAGUAGACAGGUUUAGAGAAUUCAAUGUUUAAAAUAUACCAUGUAAAAAGAAAUAAAUAGAAGGAUAAAAUGAUACCAUGUAUUACCAACCCUUAAGAAGUAAAGAAAAUAAUAAUCUCCAGAAGUAAAGAGACUCAAGUGUUAAUUGGGUCGUCCAGAAAUAAAACUGAAAGAAUUAAUAUUUACCAUGUCAGUAAUAUUACAAAGUAACUUCUUUAUAGGAACUGAUUAAAUCUUACAGUAAAAUAUUCCUUUUUCAAAGAGAAAGACCAGAGAGCUGUAAAUAAAUAUCUUCCAACAUUAUAAGACCACCAUAGGCAUUUUAUCUCAUUAAAAU